rnacentral:rRNA from 1 species
GACGAACGCUGGCGGCGUGCUUAACACAUGCAAGUCGAACGAAGAGCGAUGGAAGCUUGCUUCUAUCAAUCUUAGUGGCGCACGGGUGAGUAACGCGUAAUCAACCUGCCCUUCAGAGGGGGACAACAGUUGGAAACGACUGCUAAUACCGCAUACGAUCUAAUCUCGGCAUCGAGGAUAGAUGAAAGGUGGCCUCUACAUGUAAGCUAUCACUGAAGGAGGGGAUUGCGUCUGAUUAGCUAGUUGGAGGGGUAAGGGCCCACCAAGGCGAUGAUCAGUAGCCGGUCUGAGAGGAUGAACGGCCACAUUGGGACUGGGACACGGCCCAGACUCCUACGGGAGGCAGCAGUGGGGAAUCUUCCGCAAUGGACGAAAGUCUGACGGAGCAACGCCGCGUGAGUGAUGACGGCCUUCGGGUUGGAAAGCUCUGUUAAUCGGGACGAAAGGCCUUCUUGCGAAUAGUGAGAAGGAUUGACGGUACCGGAAUAGAAAGCCACGGCUAACUACGUG